AUGGACGGCGGCGGCGAGGAAGGGAACCAGCAGCCGCAGCUGGUGCUGGCGCACAAGCUGUUCCUCCUCUCGCAGCCAGACGUGGACGACCUCGCCAAGGUCGGCCUCCGCGACGACGUCCUCGCCGCAGUGAAAUCCGAUGACAUGGCGGCGCUGUACGAGUCGCUGGCGGCCGACGGCGUGCUGGAGAUGGACGCGGCGCUGCUCGCGGAGAUGCGCGGCCGGAUCGAGGAGGAGACCAAGAAGCUCGACGAGAAGAUCACGGAUGCUGAAGAGAAUUUGGGUGAGAGCGAAGUGCGUGAAGCCCAUCUAGCCAAAUCCUUAUAUUUCAUAAGGGUUGGCGAGAAGGAAAAAGCGCUGGAGCAGCUUAAAGUUACUGAAGGCAAAACUGUAGCUGUGGGGCAGAAGAUGGACCUUGUUUUCUACACUUUGCAGAUUGGCCUUUUCCAUAUGGACUUUGAUCUCAUCUCAAAGUCCGUUGACAAGGCCAAAAUCUUGUUUGAAGAGGGUGGUGAUUGGGAGAGGAAGAACAGAUUGAAAGUGUACGAAGGCUUGUACUGCAUGGCCACUAGAAAUUUCAAGAAGGCUACUAGCUUAUUUUUGGAUUCUGUUUCAACUUUCACAACUUAUGAGUUGUUCCCCUAUGAUACGUUCAUCUUUUACACGGUCCUUACAAGCGUUAUCACAUUGGACCGCGUGUCUCUAAAACAGAAGGUUGUAGACGCUCCUGAGAUCCUGGCUGUAAUUAGCAAAGUACCUCACCUCUCGGAGUUUCUCAAUUCCCUCUACAAUUGCCAGUACAAGUCCUUUUUUGUGGCAUUCUCUGGCCUGACGGAGCAGAUCAAGUUAGACCGAUACUUGCAACCACAUUUCCGCUACUUCAUGCGUGAAGUGCGCACUGUUGUCUAUUCGCAGUUCCUUGAGUCAUACAAGAGUGUGACGAUGGAAGCAAUGGCUGCCUCAUUUGGCGUGACAGUUGAUUUCAUAGACCAGGAAUUGUCACGCUUUAUUGCUGCUGGGAAACUCCACUGCAAGAUUGAUAAGGUUGCUGGUGUCCUGGAGACGAACCGACCUGAUGCACGUAAUGCUUUCUACCAGUCGACCAUCAAGCAAGGAGACUUUCUGCUGAAUCGCAUACAGAAGCUGUCGCGAGUCAUUGACCUGUAG
rnacentral:rRNA from 1 species